rnacentral:sRNA from 1 species
UCCUGCCUCUCCUUGGGGUCCCGGGUCAGGCCCGGCAGUAGGAGGUGCUGAGGCCACAGGCACUCCCCGAGGCGCUCAGCGAGCCCCACCCUGUGCAGGCUCGGCAUGGCUGCCCGGGGCCACAGCUGGCCCUGCCUGCAGCAGACGCCAACGUCCACCAGCUGCACCAUCACGGAUGUCCAGCUGUUCUCCAUGGCUCCCUACGUGCUCAAUGUCACCGCCGUCCACCCCUGGGGCUCCAGCAGCAGCUUCGUGCCUUUCAUAACAGAGCACAUCAUCAAGCCCGACCCUCCAGAAGGCGUGCGCCUAAGCCCCCUCGCUGAGCGCCAGCUACAGGUGCAGUGGGAGCCUCCCGGGUCCUGGCCCUUC